rnacentral:rRNA from 1 species
CUUAGCGGCGGACGGGUGAGUAACGUGUGGGCAACCUGCCCUGUAACUGUGGAAUAAUCAACUGGAAACGGUGACUAAUACCGCAUGUCAUCACGAGGAGGCAUCUCCUUGUGAGAAAAGGAUUUAUUCGGUACAGGAUGGGCCCGCAUCUGAUUAGCUAGUUGGUGAGAUAACAGCCCACCAAGGCAACGAUCCAGUAGCCGACCUGAGAGGGUGAUCGGCCACAGUGGGACUGAGACACGGCCCAAACUCCUACGGGAGGCAGCAGUGGGGAAUAUUGCACAAUGGGCGAAAGCCUGAAUGCGGCAACGCCGCGUGAAGGAUGAAGGGUUUCGGCUCGUAAACUUCUAUCAAUAGGGACGAAAAAAUGACGGUACCUGAAUAAGAAGCCCCGGCUAACUACGUGCCAGCAGCUGC